AAACCUCUGAAGCAAGCUUUACGUCUACUUCUCUAAUGUUUCUUUCUUUAGAUGAGUAAAAUCAGCGGAUGCAAGAAUAUGCUCGGAUGAAUUCGAAUGAAAAACAACAGCAGUGGGAAUUAACACGAACCGCGAAAGACUCGAAGUAGAUUCAACUCCUCCGCUAAAUUCCAUUGCUUAAAACAGAAAUUGAUUGAAGAAAUCGAUAUCUUUUCCUCACUGUUCAGUCCGAAAACCCCUAUCCAGAAAGCCCCCUCACUUCCUAUCUAUGUGAGUGUGUGUGUGAUGAGAGGUGGUAGCUGAAUUUGGUG
rnacentral:lncRNA from 1 species